UACAGAGGGGGCAAGCGUUGUUCGGAAUUACUGGGCGUAAAGGGCGCGUAGGCGGCCUUCUAAGUCAGACGUGAAAUCCCUCAGCUUAACUGGGGAACUGCGUCCGAUACUGGAUGGCUCGAGUUUGGGAGAGGGAUGCGGAAUUCCAGGUGUAGCGGUGAAAUGCGUAGAUAUCUGGAGGAACACCGGUGGCGAAGGCGGCAUCCUGGACCAACACUGACACUGAGGAGCGAAAGCCAGGGGAGCAAACGGG
rnacentral:rRNA from 1 species